rnacentral:lncRNA from 1 species
GUUUUCAGCUAGAACAGCCCGGGAGCGCGGGUCUCCUACCCUCUGAGGCUAACUGGACCACCGAAUCAGGUAGUAAUGAAUUUUCAUCCCAACCUUUGUUCUUCAUGGUGGUGUCUAACGCUCUUAAGAUUGAUGGCUGUUUUCCAAAUGUUGACAUUAUCAGAAGCCUGACCUCCACGUGGAAAAGAAGGGCCUGUUUUAAGAGGCCUCACCAAACAGCUGGCUGCAAAGGGCUGCUCUUUGAGACCAGGUUGUCUGCAGAGUCCCGAGCUGUCGGGGUUGGCCGGCUGCCUUUCUUCUCUGGCGGUGUGUGUGUGUUCUCCGUGUUUCCAGGGUGAAGCGCCCACGAGCAGGU